AUUUUUAUGUUGACAUAAAAAUGUGUUUAGCUUUUAAGACUUUCAUGUUCCUGAUUAAAUCCACAACAAUUCUUGUAAGGUCAUUAUAUUUUUAUUUUGCAAAUCUUUGAAAAGAUUUUUUCCUUUAACAAACUUCAAUAUAUUACCGUACCAAUUCUUAUUUUAUUUUUUUUCGAUGCCUUUUUUUCACUAAUUUUUGUUUCGUUUCUAAGACAAUUGAUGAAAUUAGAAAGUCUUGAAGGUGCAAGAUUUUUCUUUCUUUCUUUCUUUUUUUUUUUUCAUUUUUAGUUUUUAUUAACUUUGAUUUGUUUUAUAAAAGAACUUGUCAAGUAGUCUUACACGCCACAUGCAAAGAACGUGCUUUUUCACUAGUUUCUUUAUAUAUGAUCCCACACAUAUAUGUUAAUAUAUAUUAUUUAACAAGCCCUUUAAUAGCCAUGUGUAUAUUUUCACAUUACACGCUUUAAUGUUCGUAUAUAUAUUUUUACAUUAGCUACUCUCACUCUCGCUUCUCUCAACUAAUUAGUUAUUGUCGACACUGAACUCUGAUGGAGGGGUGCACGACUUUCUAUCUCAAGAGAUUCCCAAUACCCCUCUAAUGACUUUGUGACAAUCCUGUGAAGAGGGGUGCGAGACUUCCUCUCUGUAAAGAUUCUUGACGCCCAUUCAACGACUUUCUGACGCGUUUUCGAUAAGCUCCAAAUACACUUCCAUCAUGUAGUAGAUUUGGGUUUUUAUGCAUACGGAGAAGAGUUUGAAAGCUUCUGUGUAAUUCUUACACAGAAUGCUUUCUCCUUUCAUCAUUCUUAAAUUUUGGGAUUAUCAGUACCCAUAAUGGUUACUCAUUACUGUUGUGGGUGUUCAUGUGCUUUGGCAACCCAUGGUUGCUAGUGUGUUUAUUUUUUAUUUAUUUUUUUUGCGGCAGGUUUUUGUUGUUUGUGUAGGUUUCUUUAUUUGGGCUUAUGGGAUUUGUUCAAUUUUUCUUUUUUUUCUUCUUUACCUUGUAAGUUUCUUGGUUGUUAUCUAAAGAAAAAAAAUUAAUCCCAAAUUGACCCACUUAACCCAAUAAAAAUAAGUAUAUAUACUUUUCUUAUAUUUUUGUUGUUUGUCUAGUUAAUUUUAUAAUUAAAUAAUAUAAAAUUAAUAUUAAUGUUUUAUAAAUAAGCGUGUUAGGCAGGAAUAAGCUAAAGUUUAUCAUCCUAAAUCCAACUUAAAAAUUAAAUGAAUUUAAAAUUUUAAUUCAAUCUAAUCUUACAAAUAUCGAGCUUAAUUGGGCCAGUGAUGGGCCCAUGAGCACCCCUAUCCCCAACAUUUAAAGCAAAUGACACAGCAAAAGAAUCUCUGGAAGUUUAGGGCAGAUCUCUUCCCCUUCACGCUUCUUCACUUCUGCCUCUCUUCAAGUGUUUGGGUAAAUUGUGGUCUGCCAUCAACAGAAAACGAACAUCACCGAUUUGCUUCGGCUAUUGUCGUCACCAAUCUUCAUGGCCCGUCUGUGUCGGCUAUCUUGCUCGCCACUCUUCAUCGGCUGUCUUCCCACCAAUGUAAAUCUCUUCCCUUCCAUUCUAUACACGAAUCAAUGGAUUGUGGGAAAAAUGACCAACAGUAAAGGAACACUAGUUAUUGGCUACAAUUCAUCGGAAUGUACACCGGCAACAGAAUUCAUUGGCAGCAAUGUAGAUAUUCUAACAGAGAUCCUAACCCGUGUGCCGGCAAAGUUCGUCAUCAGAUUCAAGUGCGUGUCUAAGGAUUGGUUCUCUCUAAUCUCCAAUUCACCAUUUUCUCAACCACUCUAACCGACAUCCCAGUGCCUUGUUCUCAGGACUAUUCAUCAACCCUGUUACAUCAUUUGACGAUGAAAAAGUCAAGUCUGUCUCACUUCACGGCCAACACCAAGUCUUCCGACUUCGUCAUUUCUUGAUGGUGUUGGAUAUGGGUCUGGUACAUGUAGGAUUGAAGACUCUUGCAAAGGCUUACUAUUAUGCUUGAAUGGCCCAACGUGUUUCAUUGUUUGUAACCUGACCACCCAGAAAUACACAGUACUUCCCUAUCAUAGUGGCACUAAGGCAUCUUCUGUACCAUUUCAUAACAAGUUUGGUGUUUUCUUGAGUUCUAUGUUUGGUGGUUAUUUGGCUUUUGAUCCUUCAAAAUCACCUCACUACAAAGUUGUAUUGUUAAGUUACAUUAGGAAUAGUGAUGGCUGCUUUGACUUAAUUGACAUAUACUCUUUGGAGAGCACUUCUUGGACACACAUGCGUGCUGCUGCACCACCAGGUUACCCUUUCGCAAAAUAUUGCACAUAGGUCUUAUUGUUCACUUCAUAAUAUUGCACAUAGGUCUUAUUGUUCGCAUGCUUAUAGGUUAGCAUGAUAAGCAAUAUUGUUCCAUCAUUGCCGCAUGUAGUGCUUGUUUUGUUGCUAAAUGGAAGUAAGGUUCAGUGCCUUCUCUGAAUUUUCUUUCCUUUUCCCUUCAUCUUGUAGACCAAUGUAUGACAAAGUUGAAGAAUAAACAAGAACCUAACUUUCUAUUUUGAUACUUUUCUUUCUCA